GACGAACGCUGGCGGCGUGGAUUAGGCAUGCAAGUCGAACGGUAGGAUACCUUCGGGUAUCUGAGAGUGGCGAACGGGUGAGUAACACGUAGGUGAUCUACCCUCAAGAUUGGGACAACCCAGGGAAACUUGGGCUAAUACCGGAUGAAAGCAGCAGUGAUGUUGUUUGAAAGGUGGCGUAAGCUGCCGUUUGGGGAUGAGCCUGCGCUCUAUUAGUAGUUGGCGGGGUAAAGGCCCACCAAGGCGAUGAUAGAUAGGCGGCCUUAACGGGUGGUCGCCCACACUGGGAUUGAGAUACGGCCCAGACUCCUACGGGAGGCAGCAGUCGAGAAUAGUCUACAAUGGUCGGAAGACUGAUAGUGCGACGCCGCGUGAACGAUGAAUCCCUUCGGGGUGUAAAGUUCUUUUAUAUGUGAGCAGUGCUUCUUAUAUUAACAGUAUGGGGAGAGUAGAUAUUAGCAUAUGAAUAAGCAAACGGCUAAACUCCGUCCAAGCACGG
rnacentral:rRNA from 1 species